rnacentral:rRNA from 1 species
GACAGAGGAUGCAAGCGUUAUCCGGAAUGAUUGGGCGUAAAGCGUCUGUAGGUGGCUUUUCAAGUCCGCCGUCAAAUCCCAGGGCUCAACCCUGGACAGGCGGUGGAAACUGCCAAGCUGGAGUACGGUAGGGGCAGAGGGAAUUUCCGGUGGAGCGGUGAAAUGCGUAGAGAUCGGAAAGAACACCAACGGCGAAAGCACUCUGCUGGGCCGACACUGACACUGAGGAGCGAAAGCGUGGGGAGCGAACAGG